CGCGCGGGGCCCGGGGCGGGAGCCGGGCGGACGCCAUGGAGGGGCUGCGGCGGGGGCUGUCGCGCUGGAAGCGCUACCACAUCAAGGUGCACCUGGCGGACGAGGCGCUGCUGCUGCCGCUGACCGUGCGGCCGCGGGACACGCUCAGCGACCUGCGCGCCCAGCUGGUGGGCCAGGGCGUGAGCUCCUGGAAGCGCGCCUUCUACUACAACGCGCGGCGGCUGGACGACCACCAGACCGUGCGCGACGCGCGCCUGCAGGACGGCUCGGUGCUGCUGCUCGUCAGCGACCCCAGGUAGCCUGGCUUGGAGGAGGCAGAGCCAUGACCGAGGGGACCCAGGUACUGGCGGGAGGAAUAUGCUGGGGUAGGGGGCACUUUUGGAAGUUACGUCUUCUGCCUCCUGGGAGCCUAGAUCUCACUCCAGGGUCUGGGCUCCCAGGAGGACAGUGAAACCCUGGCCUGACCAGCUGAUGCACCCUGCUUCAGACGCUCCUGCCAGAGCCCCAGUCCCUUACGGACCUAGGACAUUUCUGCUCCUGCCCAGCCUACCAGGAGGGAGCCUUGAGCCUUUCAGCUCUGCUGCGUGACUUUGAGGCUCUGGCUCCCCUCUUGGGGCCCCGGGUGCCCUGUCUUCAGUGGGAAGCACUGCACCACUGCGGAAGGCUCCCAGGGACAGCCAGAGGACAUCGCAUGAGGAGAAGGACAGGGCAGAGGAAGAGCACUCGGAGGCACUUCCCCUCUUGCCCACAAUAUUCUUCCAGCCACACCUUUGCCCAAGCCAUGCUCCCUGCCUGGAGCACUUUCAACCUCUUCUCCGCAGCUCCAAUCCACCUGGGGUUGCAGCCUCCUCCAGGAAGUCUUCUUGGAUUCCCUCCUUCCCAGGCAGAGAGCACCUAGCCCUCA